UACGAAGGGGGCUAGCGUUGUUCGGAAUCACUGGGCGUAAAGGGCGCGUAGGCGGCUUGAUAAGUCAGGGGUGAAAUCCUGGAGCUCAACUCCAGAACUGCCUUUGAUACUGAAGAUCUUGAGUUCGGGAGAGGUGAGUGGAACUGCGAGUGUAGAGGUGAAAUUCGUAGAUAUUCGCAAGAACACCAGUGGCGAAGGCGGCUCACUGGCCCGAUACUGACGCUGAGGCACGAAAGCGUGGGGAGCAAACAGG
rnacentral:rRNA from 1 species